rnacentral:snRNA from 1 species
GUGGUCACUUUGGCAGCACAUAUACUCAAAUUGGAACAAUACAGGUAGGAUUAGCAUGGCCUCUGUGCAAAGAUGACAUGCAAACUCAUGAAGCAUUCCAUAUUUUA